rnacentral:rRNA from 1 species
GAUGAACGCUGGCGGCGUGCCUAAUACAUGCAAGUAGAACGCUGAAGGAGGAGCUUUCUCUUCUGGAUGAGUUGCGAACGGGUGAGUAACGCGUAUGUAUCCUGCCUUGUAUCGUGGUAUAACUAUUCGUAACGAUAGCUAUUACCCCAUGACAACAGUUAUUGCAUGAUAACUGUUUAAAAUUGGCAACUUCUCCACUACCAGAUGGUCCUGCGUUGUAUUAGCUUGUUGGUGUGGUAAAGGCUCACCAAGGCGACGAUACAUAGCCGACCUGAGAGGGUGAGAGGGGACAAUGGGACUGAGACAAGGGAAAGAAGCCUAAGGGAGGGAGCAGUAGGGAAAGGUGGGAAAUGGAGGGAAGUCAGAACGAGAAACGACGCGGGAGGGAAGAAGGGUUUCGGAUCGGGAAGAUCAGUUGUAAGAGAAGAAAGAGUGUGAGAGUGGAAAGUUCACAGUGUGACGGUAGCUUAACAGAAAGGGACGGCUAACUACGUG